UGGAGGUCCGCACCAAUAAGCGUUGAAAAGCUUCUGGAUGAGCCGAGUGUAGGAGUGAAAGGCCAAUCAAACUUGGAGAUAGCUCGUACUCCCCGAAAGGCAUUUAGGUGCCGCGUCGGAUGGUCACCGUGAGAGGUAGAGCGACCGAUAGGACAAGAGGGCUUCACCGCCUAUCGAGUCCUGACGAACUCCGAAUGCUCACGGUCUGCAGUCCGGCAGUAAGGGGGCGGGUGCUAAGGUCCGUCCCCGAGAGGAGAAGAAUCCAGACCGCCGUCUAAGGUCCCGGAGUUCUGCCUGAGUUAGUCUAACGAAGUCUGGUCCCUAUGACAGCUAGGAUGUUGGCUUGGAAGCAGCCAUUCAUUCAAAGAGUGCGUAACAGCUCACUAGUCGAGGGUCCGGGCAUGGAUAAUAAUCGGGUAUAAGGCAGACACCGAAGGCGCGGGAUAGCAUUUAAGAAAGUAUCGGUAGGGGAGCAUACUCACAGCGUCGAAUGGUGUACGUAAGUUAUCCUGGAGCGGUGAGUAAAGCAAAUGUAGGAAUAAGUAACGAUAAGGAGGGUUAGAUUCCCUCCCGCUGUAAGACCAAGGUUUCCCGGGCAAUGCCAAUCAGCCCGGGGUCAGUCGGGUCCUAAGUCUAAGCCGAACGGCGAUGGCGAUGGCAGAGACGGUUAAUAUUCCGUCACUGCCGCAUGGGGCGACGUGGAGACGGAGCAGUGAAACCACCGCGGGGCGACGGAAGUCCCCGUUGAAGAGUGUAGGUGUUGAGGAUGGCAGGCAAAUCCACCGUCCGAGCUGAACUUGAUAGUAUGGAGUCUUCUUCGGAAGAAUCCAAUAGUGUGGGUAAUCAUACUCCCGAGAAAAUCCGCUAAGCUUAACCCAUGCGGCACCCGUACCGCAAACGGACACACGUGGUCGGGUAGAACAUACUAAGGCGUUGAGAGAUUCAUGGUUAAGGAACUAGGCAAAUUGACCCUGUAACUUCGGGAUAAAGGGUCCUCGUGAUGAGCGAGGCGCAGAGAAUAGGUCCAGGCAACUGUUUAACAAAAACACAGGGCUGUGCAAACUCGAAAGAUGACGUAUACAGCCUGACACCUGCCCGGUGCCGGAAGGUUAAGAGGAGAUGUCACUCGCAAGAGGAAGCAUUGAAUUGAAGCCCCGGUAAACGGCGGCCGUAACUAUAACGGUCCUAAGGUAGCGAAAUUCCUUGUCGGGUAAGUUCCGACCUGCACGAAUGGUGUAAUGAUCCGGACGCUGUCUCAACCAUGAGCCCAGUGAAAUUGUAGUAUCGGUGAAGAUGCCGAUUACCCGCGAUGGGACGAAAAGACCCCGUGAACCUUUACUACAGCUUAGCAUUGACCUUGGUCAUCCGAUGUGUAGGAUAGGCCGGAGGCUUCGAAGCGGGAGCGCCAGCUUUCGUGGAGCCAUCCUUGAAAUACGGCCCUUUGGCUGUCUGAGGUCUAACGCGUGAUACGCGGACACUGCUUGGUGGGUAGUUUGACUGGGGU
rnacentral:rRNA from 1 species